rnacentral:rRNA from 1 species
CACGUAGGGGGCAAGCGUUGUCCGGAUUUACUGGGCGUAAAGCGCGCGUAGGCGGCUGGUUAGGUCUACUUGUGAAAGGCAGGGGCUCAACCCCUGGAUUGCGAGGGAAACCGGCCGGCUGGAGAGAGGCAGAGGCAGGUGGAAUGGCUGGUGGAGCGGUGAAAUGUGUUGAUAUUGGAAGGAACGCCGGUGGCGAAAGCGACACACUGGACCUUGUCUGACGCUGAGGCACGAAAGCCAGGGGAGCAAACGGG